rnacentral:rRNA from 1 species
AUUGAACGCUGGCGGCAGGCCUAACACAUGCAAGUCGAACGGAUGAAGGGAGCUUGCUCCUGGCUUCAGCGGCGCACGGGUGAAUAAUGCCUAGGAAUCUGCCUGGGAGUGGGGGAUAACGUCCGGAAACGGGCGCUAAUACCGCAUAAGUCCUGAGGGAAAAAGUGGGGGAUCUUCGGACCUCACGCUAUCAGAUGAGCCUAGGUCGGAUUAGCUAGUUGGUGGGGUAAAGGCCUACCAAGGCGACGAUCCGUAACUGGUCUGAGAGGAUGAUCAGUCACACUGGAACUGAGACACGGUCCAGACUCCUACGGGAGGCAGCAGUGGGGAAUAUUGGACAAUGGGCGAAAGCCUGAUCCAGCCAUGCCGCGUGUGUGAAGAAGGUCUUCGGAUUGUAAAGUACUUUAGGUAGGGAGGAAAGGCAGUAAGUUAAUACCUUGCUGUUUUGACGUUACCAAAAGAAUAAGCACCGGCUAACUUCGUG